GCCACUGCACUCCAGCCUGACGACACAGUAAGACUCCGUCUCAAAAAAAAAAAAAAAGAAGACACAGAGCGGCCCAAGGCAGGCUGCCUGGACUGCGCUGCUUCUCUCCUGAGCCUCCCUUUGAGGGGAGGCCUCAGGACUGAUGCCCACAUGGACUCUGUCCAGAUGCUCAGCAGCCGGUGCUCUCACUGGUUCCCAGCUCACUUAAAACCUGGUGCCCAGGGAGCAGCUGGGACAGCCCCCAGAAUCAAGACCACAUGGUCCAGGCUUUCCGUGCUUGUAGAUAGCUGUUCUCUGUCCCCACAUGUCCUUGCACCUCUGCUCACUGCAAAUGGACACCCCCAAGGAAGGGUGGACAUAGAGACCCAGGGACUCCAUGAGCUGGAAGACCAGCUGGCUCCAGGUGCUGAGGCAGUUGCCAGGAGAUGUUUAUCGCACUAAAUACUUCUUCUUGGUACUCAUUUGCAGCCUCGUCAAUCUGUGUUAAGAAGCCAUCCAAAGCCAGAAUUGACCAGGCACAGUGGUUCAUGCCUGUAAUCCCAGCACUGUGGGAGGCCGAGGGCGUUUUUGUGGCAGUGCGUGUUUUGUGGCCAGCAAGAGCCAUGUGGGAUAUUUGCUACAGAUGAACAACCCCACGAGUUGGGCGGAGAUGGCAGAAGUCUGGGUUGCACUUUCUCCAAUCCCUAAGUGUCUGGCAUGCACUCAGGUGUCCCUUGACACUUCAAAGGAUACCCCUGUGCCCUGCGGGGAUGGCGCCUGCUCACUGGCAUGCUGGAGCAGGAGACAGCCUGGCCUGUAAGUUUCUUGCUAGCAAGGACCUCUCUGCCAUCCGCUGCUUGGACUAAUGUCUGCACAGAGUUCUGGAGGAAUACAACUCUGAGUGUCUUGGAGAACUUCAGAAAUAAUAAAAAGGAUACACAGAGGCUCCCCAGCUGGCUCCUCUGCACCGGGCUUCAGGAGCGUCCCAGGAAGCGUGGGGCAGCCCCAGCCGGAUCCAGCCCUGUGUGGAAAAGGCAGCCGAGGCAGAUCCCGCAGAGACGAGCUCCAGCCUAGCCCCAGCUCCCCCUCUUCCCUGUGGCUGGGGGUCCCACCCAAGCAAAAAGGCCAUGGUAAAGGAAGUCAAAAACUUUAUUCAGCUUAUAAAAUUCCAUGUUCCGAGAACAUGCUCUGAGCAUGCAGAAAGCGCAGGACACUGCUCCUGGGUGGGGACUCGGGUGGGGCCACCUCUGAAGCUCUGCUGACCCCCUGGGCCAAGGCCCUGACAGACUAGCAGGCCCAGUGGUUGUGAAAGUGUCACAGCCACCAUCACUGAUGGCACCUGCUGGUGCAGCUGCAGUCCCUGGUGGGCCGGGCACUCACUCGGGCAGCCGCCGGCCCCCACGCCAGCCACGGUUGUCCCGCCAUACACAGUAGUUGAGUGUGGUCGCGAAGGCCAGCCAGGCCAGGUAGGGGUAGAGCAGGCGGGCGGCCAGCGGGCUCACCUGGUACCAGGCCACGGUAGUGGCUGCCGCCGCCCCACUGACCAACAGGAGAUCCACCAGGGCCUGCAGAGAUUGGGGGAGGAAGGACAGGGAGGCCUGAGGCACCACAUCCACCCAAGUGCGUGUCCCACUGCCCAACUCCUGCUGGAUUUGGGAGUCAGGAGCCUCACUCACCCCCACUCCACCCUUGAGUGACCUGGCCAAGCCCCUCCCCUAUCUCAGCCUCAGUUUCCUCAUCUGUAAAAUGGGAAUAGUCCUCCCGCCUGACCCAUGCCAUGUGUGGGGUGCACGUGACAUGCCUGAAGUGAACUCGGUUUGUUCAAGGGUGCGGUGGUGGCUUAGAGAGGUCUCGCAGGUCCCUUCCCCUCUCUGAGCUCAGAGCCUCCACGGAGGGCAGCGCUGACCUUCCAGCAUUACUACAAGG